rnacentral:rRNA from 1 species
GACGAACCGUGCGAACGUUAUUCGGAAUCAUUGGGCGUAAAGCGCGCGUAGGCGGCCAGUAAGUCCGGUGUAAAAGUCAAAGGCUCAACCUUUGAAAGCCGAUGGAUACUGCUGGGCUAGAGUCCGGAAGAGGCGAGUGGAAUUCCUGGUGUAGCGGUGGAAUGCGCAGAUAUCAGGAGGAACACCGAUAGCGAAGGCAGCUCGCUGGGACGGUACUGACGCUGAGGCGCGAAAGCGUGGGGAGCGAACAGG